AGCAACCUGAGGACUGCCUGGGACGAGGCGGAGGAGGGUGAGGAGGACGUCA
rnacentral:rRNA from 1 species